rnacentral:rRNA from 1 species
UACGGAGGGUGCAAGCGUUAUCCGGAUUUACUGGGCGUAAAGAGCGCGCAGGCGGUCGUUCAAGUCGAGUGUGAAAGCCCCCGGCUCAACUGGGGAGGGUCACUCGAUACUGAUCGACUCGAAGGCAGGAGAGGGUAGUGGAAUUCCCGGUGUAGUGGUGAAAUGCGUAGAUAUCGGGAGGAACACCAGUGGCGAAGGCGACUACCUGGCCUGUUCUUGACGCUGAGGCGCGAAAGCUAGGGGAGCAAACGGG